AGAGUGAACGCUGGCGGCAGGCCUAAUACAUGCAAGUCGAACGGCAGCACAGCAGAGCUUGCUCUGUGGGUGGCGAGUGGCGGACGGGUGAGGAAUACGUGGGAAUCUGCCCAGUCGUGGGGGAUAACGUAGGGAAACUUAUGCUAAUACCGCAUGCGCCCUUCGGGGGAAAGCCGGGGACCUUCGGGCCUGGCGCGAUUGGAUGAGCCCACGUCGGAUUAGCUAGUUGGCGGGGUAAAGGCCCACCAAGGCGACGAUCCGUAGCUGGUCUGAGAGGAUGAUCAGCCACACUGGAACUGAGACACGGUCCAGACUCCUACGGGAGGCAGCAGUAGGGAAUAUUGGACAAUGGGCGCAAGCCUGAUCCAGCCAUGCCGCGUGAGUGAAGAAGGCCCUCGGGUUGUAAAGCUCUUUUGUCCGGAAAGAAAAGCGCCGGGUUAAUACCCUGGUGUCCUGACGGUACCGGAAGAAUAAGCACCGGCUAACUUCGUG
rnacentral:rRNA from 1 species